rnacentral:rRNA from 1 species
GUCGAUGGGAAACAGGUUAAUAUUCCUGUACUUGGUGUUACUGCGAAGGGGGGACGGAGAAGGCUAUGUUGGCCGGGCGACGGUUGUCCCGGUUUAAGCGUGUAGGUGUGUGUUCCAGGUAAAUCCGGUUCACUUUAACACUGAGGCGUGAUGACGAGGCACUACGGUGCUGAAGUGACAAAUGCCCUGCUUCCAGGAAAAGCCUCUAAGCAUCAGGUAACAUCAAAUCGUACCCCAAACCGACACAGGUGGUCAGGUAGAGAAUACCAAGGCGCUUGAGAGAACUCGGGUGAAGGAACUAGGCAAAAUGGUGCCGUAACUUCGGGAGAAGGCACGCUGAUAUGUAGGUGAAGUGAUUUACUCAUGGAGCUGAAAUCAGUCGAAGAUACCAGCUGGCUGCAACUGUUUAUUAAAAACACAGCACUGUGCAAACACGAAAGUGGACGUAUACGGUGUGACGC